UACGUAGGGUGCGAGCGUUAAUCGGAAUUACUGGGCGUAAAGCGUGCGCAGGCGGUUCUGAAAGUCAGCUGUGAAAGCCCCGGGCUUAACCUGGGAAUUGCGGUUGAAACUACAGGGCUAGAAUCUGGCAGAGGGGGGGUGGAAUUCCACGUGUAGCAGUGAAAUGCGUAGAGAUGUGGAGGAACACCGAUGGCGAAGGCAGCCCCCCUGGGCUGAGAUUGACGCUCAGGCACGAAAGCGUGGGGAGCAAACAGG
rnacentral:rRNA from 1 species